UGAGGAAUAUUGGUCAAUGGGCGAGAGCCUGAACCAGCCAAGUAGCGUGAAGGAUGAAGGUCCUAUGGAUUGUAAACUUCUUUUAUACGGGAAUAAAGCGGACCACGUGUGGUCCUUUGCAUGUACCGUAUGAAUAAGCAUCGGCUAACUCCGUGCCAGCAGCCGCGGUAAUACGGAGGAUGCGAGCGUUAUCCGGAUUUAUUGGGUUUAAAGGGAGCGCAGACGGGGCGUUAAGUCAGCUGUGAAAGUUUGGGGCUCAACCUUAAAAUUGCAGUUGAUACUGUCGUUCUUGAGUGCGGUUGAGGUAGGCGGAAUUCGUGGUGUAGCGGUGAAAUGCUUAGAUAUCACGAAGAACUCCGAUUGCGAAGGCAGCCUACUAAGCCGUAACUGACGUUCAUGCUCGAAAGUGUGGGUAUCAAACA
rnacentral:rRNA from 1 species